AACGCGAAGAACCUUACCAGGCCUUGACAUGUCCUCAGUGGCCCGGAGAGAUCCGGGCUGUCAUUUAGUUGGGAGGAACACAGGUGCUGCAUGGCUGUCGUCAGCUCGUGUCGUGAGAUGUUGGGUUAAGUCCCGCAACGAGCGCAACCCUCAUCGUUAGUUGCCAUCAGGUAAGGCUGGGCACUCUAACGAAACUGCCGGUGACAAGCCGGAGGAAGGCGAGGAUGACGUCAAGUCCUCAUGGCCCUUAUGGCCUGGGCUACACACGUGCUACAAUGGUGGUGACAAUGGGAUGCAAGACCGCAAGGUGGAGCUAACCCCCAAAAAGCCAUCUCAGUUCGGAUUGCACUCUGCAACUCGAGUGCAUGAAGUUGGAAUCGCUAGUAAUCGUGGAUCAGCACGCCACGGUGAAUACGUUCCCGGGGCCUUGUACACACCGACAUA
rnacentral:rRNA from 1 species